UAUGUACUCCCUCCAUCCCAAAAAGUUUGUCCCCCAAAUAGAUGUAUCUAGCACCAAGUUAGUGCUAGAUACAUCCAUUUGAGAAAUAAACUUGGGACAAGCUUUUUCGGAUGGAGGGAGUAUGAC
rfam:Triticum aestivum genome assembly, contig: Triticum_aestivum_CS42_TGACv1_scaffold_640959_T_7BL-0.163756_6BS-0.137132